UUCUUAUCCAGAGUGGUGGAGGGACUGGCCCUAUGAAACCCGGCAACCUAUUUUAUUGUUUAUUCAAUAGAAUGUGGUGCUAAUUCCUGAUAGAUAAGGG
rnacentral:ncRNA from 2 species